UACGGAGGGUGCAAGCGUUAUCCGGAAUCACUGGGUUUAAAGGGUACGCAGGCGGUUUUGUAAGUCUGACGUGAAAGCUUGUGGCUUAACCAUGAAAUUGCGUUGGAUACUGCAUAACUAGAAUACGAUCGAAGUGGAUGGAAUGCGUCAUGUAGCGGUGAAAUGCAUAGAUAUGACGUAGAACACCAAAAGCGAAGGCAGUUCACUAGGUCGAUAUUGACGCUGAGGUACGAAAGCGUGGGUAGCGAACAGG
rnacentral:rRNA from 1 species